rnacentral:rRNA from 1 species
UACAGAGGGGGCAAGCGUUGUUCGGAAUUACUGGACGUAAAGGGCGCGUAGGCGGCCUGCUAAGUCGAACGUGAAAUCCCCGAGCUCAACUCGGGAACUGCGUCCGAUACUGACAGGCUUGAAUUCGGGAGAGGGAUGCAGAAUUCCAGGUGUAGCGGUGAAAUGCGUAGAUAUCUGGAGGAAUACCGGUGGCGAAGGCGGCAUCCUGGACCGAGAUUGACACUGAUGAGCGAAAGCUAGGGGAGCAAACGGG